AGAGUUUGAUUCUGGCUCAGGAUGAACGCUGGCGGCGUGCUUAACACAUGCAAGUCGAACGGAACACCCUUGAAGGAGUUUUCGGACAACUGAGAGGACUGUUUAGUGGCGGACGGGUGAGUAACGCGUGAGUAACCUGCCUUGGAGUGGGGAAUAACACAAAGAAAUUUGUGCUAAUACCGCAUAAUGCAGCUGAGUCGCAUGGCUCUGGCUGCCAAAGAUUUAUCGCUCUGAGAUGGACUCGCGUCUGAUUAGCUAGUUGGCGGGGUAACGGCCCACCAAGGCGACGAUCAGUAGCCGGACUGAGAGGUUGGCCGGCCACAUUGGGACUGAGACACGGCCCAGACUCCUACGGGAGGCAGCAGUGGGGAAUAUUGGGCAAUGGGCGCAAGCCUGACCCAGCAACGCCGCGUGAAGGAAGAAGGCUUUCGGGUUGUAAACUUCUUUUCUCAGGGACGAAGCAAGUGACGGUACCUGAGGAAUAAGCCACGGCUAACUACGUGCCAGCAGCCGCGGUAAUACGUAGGUGGCAAGCGUUAUCCGGAUUUACUGGGUGUAAAGGGCGUGUAGGCGGGAAAGCAAGUCAGAUGUGAAAACCAUGGGCUCAACCUGUGGCCUGCAUUUGAAACUGUUUUUCUUG
rnacentral:rRNA from 1 species